rnacentral:rRNA from 1 species
CCCAUCGAUGGAAUUGAGAUACGGUCCAUACUCCUACGGGAGGCUGCAGUCGAGAAUAUUCGACAAUGGGCGAAAGCCUGAUCGAGCGACGUCGCGUGGUGGAUGAAGUCCUUCGGGACGUAAACAUCUUUUAUGAGGGAGGAAGUUAUUGACGUUACCUCAUGAAUAAGGGGCUCCAAACUCUGUGCCAGCAGGAGCGGUAAUACAGAGGCCCCAAGCAUUACCCGGAAUUAUUGGGCGUAAAGGGUGCGUAGGUGGUCAUAUUAGUCGAAUGUUAAAUCCCAGGGCUUAACUCUGGAAUCGCAUUCGAAACGGUAUGACUCGAGAGCGUGAGAGGUGAAUGGAACUCAUGGUGUAGGGGUGAAAUCCGUUGAUAUCAUGGGGAGCACCGAAAGCGAAAGCAAUUCACUGGCACGUUUCUGACACUCAAGCACGAAAGCGUGGGUAGCGAACGGGAUUAGAUACCCCGGUAGUCCACGCCCUAAACGAUGAUAACUGGAUUUAGGGAGUAUCGACCCUCUCUGAGUCGAAGCUAACGCGUUAAGUUAUCCGCCUGGGUAGUACGGUCGCAAGGCUAAAACUCAAAGGAAUUGACGG